rnacentral:rRNA from 1 species
AAUGGGGGAAACCCUGAUCCAGCCAUGCCGCGUGAGUGAUGAAGGCCUUAGGGUCGUAAAGCUCUUUCGCCUGGGAUGAUAAUGACAGUACCAGGUAAAGAAACCCCGGCUAACUCCGUGCCAGCAGCCGCGGUAAUACGGAGGGGGUUAGCGUUGUUCGGAAUUACUGGGCGUAAAGCGCACGUAGGCGGACUGUUAAGUUAGAGGUGAAAUCCCGGGGCUCAACCCCGGAACUGCCUUAAUACUGGCAGUCUAGAGUUCGAGAGAGGUGAGUGGAAUUCCGAGUGUAGAGGUGAAAUUCGUAGAUACUCGGAGGAACACCAGUGGCGAAGGCGGCUCACUGGCUCGAUACUGACGCUGAGGUGCGAAAGUGUGGGGAGCAAACAGGAUU